GACAGAGGGUGCUAGCGUUGUUCGGAAUUACUGGGCGUAAAGGGCGCGUAGGCGGUCUGCUAAGUUCGGUGUGAAAUCCCCUGGCUCAACUGGGGAACUGCGCUGGAAACUGGCAGACUCGAGUACCGGAGAGGAGAGUGGAAUUCCUGGUGUAGCGGUGAAAUGCGUAGAUAUCAGGAGGAACACCGGUGGCGAAAGCGCUCAUCUGGCCCGAUACUGACGCUGGAAGCAACGAAAGCCUAGGGGAGCAAACGGG
rnacentral:rRNA from 1 species